rnacentral:snoRNA from 1 species
AAGACUAUAAUGUUAGGGAUCAUUUCCACAGUUCGUUACUAGAGAAGUUUCUCUGAUCGUGUAGAGUACCGGAAACCACAAGGAGGAGGUGCAGUGCUUUCCUCCUGAGCGUGAAGCCAGCAUUUGGUGUUGUUUUACCACAACUGCCAUUUGUCAUUGAUGAGCGUUCUUAUUUUCUAUUAGGGAAUAAGAGGGAGAGAGCACAGUCUGAGUGGU